AACGAACGCUGGCGGCAGGCCUAAUACAUGCAAGUCGAACGCACCGCAAGGUGAGUGGCAGACGGGUGAGUAACGCGUGGGAACCUUCCUAGUAGUACGGAAUAGCUCCGGGAAACCGGUGCUAAUACCGUAUAAGCCCUCCGGGGGAAAGAUUUAUCGCUACUAGAUGGGCCCGCGUCGGAUUAGCUUGUUGGUGAGGUAAUGGCUCACCAAGGCUUCGAUCCGUAGCUGGUCUGAGAGGANGAUCAGCCACACUGGGACUGAGACACGGCCCAGACUCCUACGGGAGGCAGCAGUGGGGAAUCUUGCGCAAUGCGCGAAAGCGUGACGCAGCAACGCCGCGUGGGGGAAGACGGCC
rnacentral:rRNA from 1 species